CUGCAUCCUUCAUAAACCCCCCGGUUAUCGUCUGUGGUCUCUGGGAUAAGGACGGAUGCCACAUGAACCUUAGAACCAUCCAAAGCUGAGAGUCGGUGUCAGUGGGUCUCAGUUAUUUCACCUCUAAGACACGA
ensembl:snoRNA small nucleolar RNA SNORA14